rnacentral:lncRNA from 1 species
AUUCUCCCAAUCACAUAUUCCUUGGACUUAUCGUUUAAGCGUAUAACAUUUAUAUGAGACGGCUUAAACAAUAAUCUUUGCCCUUGAUAUUAAACUAGAUUAGUUUAACAUGUGAAAUGUCCGUAAAGUAUCAUCAUAUGAUUGGUUUUAGGGCACAUUUCCAAUAGAUAGAGCUAAUGAACGAGAGAUAGAACUCAAAGAAUGGGUUCUUUGAGAAACAAGAUAGUGAUCAACAAAUAUAACAACCUAGUUCCUACACCACAAGCUCCAAGGUAGUUGAGAAGGAUUUAUAAACCGACUCAGUUGAAUGGUUUGAACUUUAUGACUAUGUCAUAGAGUUGCACCUCUUAAUUCGAAAGAAAUAAGAAUGAAAAAUCCUUAUGACUACAUUGAGUGUAUAUACGAUAUAUACUCAAGGAAAUGGUAAAGUACCAUUUGACUCGAAAUAAUGAAACCUUUAUAGCUAAUUAGUAGCUUAAGGUCACUACAAUCAAAGAGAUUGGUUGACUUUGAAGAAACCAUCUUUGACGUAGUCUUGGUUUCAAUUAAUUCGAAGAUUGCUAGCUACAACUAAAUGGUGAUUCAAUGUUUGGACAUUAUAUGGGUUUCCGAAACCAUCAUGUAAGUUGUAGAGAUCCAACCAUCAUGGAUCUUAGCAAGCUAGUGGGAGCUAUAAACGUCUUAUGAUAAAAAGAUCAAAUCGUUUGAUUUCUCAUAAAGAUGUAAAUGAAUCUUUUGUUUACUAGGUUUACAAAAGAUUAGUGGGAGUUAAUAAUGUUCCUAAAUUUGAAUAUAUAUAUAUAUAUACAAAUAUAUGAUAUAUUAAUUUUGGAAAUGAAAAGAAUACUUCUUCGUUAAAGUUAUGACUUUAAAACAUUAUAUGAAGAUAGAAUGUAUAUGGGAGACAUAGUCUAUAUACAUGGGAUAGAAAUCUAUAUUGAUAGAUUUUAGGAUAUAAUUGGAUUAUAUCAAGCCCUAAAUAUAGACAAAAGAUGAUAGGAAGUUUCUCAUAUGAUGAUGAACUUCAAUAAAAAAGGACAACUCUAGUGAGACUAAGAAGUUGCUCUUCUCAAAGAGAACGUACUCUUUGACUCCCAAAGAAAUAAUGCGUAAAUAGAAUCCUUUAUGCAUACGCAGAAAAGUGAUUUAUGUAUUUCAUAGUGUAUGAAAAACAUUGAUAUGAGUUGUACCUAGAACGGUACAAGACGAUAUCAGUGCAAGCCCAGGAUCAGAACCAUGGCAACUGUCAAGUGAGUCUUUAAGUAUUUAAGAAAUACUAAAGGAUAUAUUCCUCAAAGAUCGAGGAAGAAUUAGAGUAACGUAAUGGAAGUGUAAAUGUAUUAGAUUAUGAAUCUAAUCCGUCAUUGGAUGUUUCUUCAUUAUGAAUGAAGAGAUAAACAGAUAUCUCUUUAUUAUGACUAAAGCGAUAUUUGGAUGGAAACAUUAAAGUAAUGACUUUAGUGUGUUCCAUUAUGAAUGCAAAAUAUAUUGCCAUAUAGAAGUUUGCAACAAUGUUGUUUGGAUGGGAAAGUUCAUUUAUGAACUCUCUAUUUGGUUCCAACUAGAAAGUGUCUGACACUAAUGGGGCGAUAGCUCAAGCCAGGGAAUCAAGGUCUCAUCACGAUCCGAACUCAAAUGAGAGACUGAACCACAUGAUUAAGAAUCAUGUAUAAUGGUGACGUCGUUAUUCUCAAGGUUGCUUCUAUGGAUAACAUAUAGAUAUCCAUUGUCUAGGCCUACUACUCAGCCAUUUAUGAAAUGACUACAGAAGAGGUAUCAUCACUGAUGAGCAAGCUGAUUGGCUCUAGUGCAAGUUGGAGAUUGUUGGAAAUGUGCCCUAAAACCAAUCAUAUGAUGAUACUUUACGGACAAUUCACAUGUUAAACUAAUCUAGUUUAAUAUCAAGGGCAAAGAUUAUUGUUUGAGCCGUCUCAUAUAAAUGUUAU